GUGUGCAUACGAUCCUCACACAGCGUUUUUACACGAAGACAUCAACAAUUUGGAACAAUGAGUACACUCUUCCUGAUUUGCCUGUUCGGUCUGUUUGGUGCAGUGAUUGGUUUUCCUUGUCUUACCGACGAUUCUAAGAAAAAAUUUGAUAAAACAAGGAAUGCAUUAAAGAAUCUAGAAAGUUAUCUGUCGAAAACUGUCAGCACACUUCAAGGACAAAUCAACACAAUAAACGGCAAAGUUAAAGCACUUGAUAAAGGUCUUAUUACGAUGGAAGGUGAUUUCAAAAAACGACAAUGGAGCAAGUACAACGGGCAUUGUUAUUUCUUGGUACAGAUUUAGUUAACUGGGUUACAGCUGAGAGGCGAUGCAGAGAAAUUGGAGGUUUCUUAGUGAAAAUUGAGGAUGCAUCGGAAAAUAAAUGGAUUCUAGAUCAUACUAUAAUUAAAAAUAAUUGGAUGUGGAUGGGUUUAACUGAUGUUAUGGAAGGUGAUUUCAGAUGGACGU